rnacentral:lncRNA from 13 species
GCCUCCUGGUGCUGAUGGGGUCCAGAGCAGAGGAAGUUUCUGUUGAAGGCAGCAUAUCCAACAACUCCACCUCCACCCCUACUGAUACCCCCUCUACAGCCAGCCUGAGCCCCUCUACAGCCAGCCUGACCUCCUCUACAGCCAGCCUGACCCCGUCUACAGCCAACCUGAGCCCCUCUACAGCCAGCCUGACCCCCUCUACAGCCAGCCUGACCCCCUCUACNNNNNNNNNNUAGAUCUGGGGCACCAGGUGGGUGAUUCCCCUCUAUUCAGGGCCUGAUUUAGACCUGGGACACCAGGUGGGUGAUUCUCCUCUAAUCGGGGACUGAUUUAGAUCUUGGACACCGGGUGGGUAAUUCCCCUCUAAUCGGGGACUGAUUUAGACCUGGGAAACCGGUUGGGUGAUUCCCCUCUAAUCGGGGACUGAUUUAGCCCUGAGACACCAGGUGGGUGAUUCCCCUCUAAUCAGAGACUGAUUUAGUGAUUCCCCUCUACUCAGGGCCUGAUUUAGACCUGGGUUAUAUUAGUAAUCAGGUAGAAGUGAAAACUGCAGAGUUCGUAGGGUCAGAGUUGAAUACCUACAGUAUGUUGGUUUCAUCUAAUAUGAGGAUACAGAGGAGCCGAGGAGAAGUGACUAUAGUCUACUAAGAGACAGCCCAGCUAGCGGUUUGUGGUCUGUGACUCAAUUCCUGUCAGAGAGAGACGCUGAGGAGAAAAAGACUUUACUUUCGUCUCUACACGUGUGACAGACUUGGUACUGUCCAAACCCAUAAGGUGAUAAAUCAUCAAUAUGCCAUUGAUCUGCAUUCAGAUCUAUGUCCUGGGCCUCCUGGUGCUGAUGGGGUCCAGAGCAGAGGAAGUUUCUGUUGAAGGCAGCAUAUCCAACAACUCCACCUCCACCCCUACUGAUACCCCCUCUACAGCCAGCCUGAGCCCCUCUACAGCCAGCCUGACCUCCUCUACAGCCAGCCUGACCCCGUCUACAGCCAACCUGAGCCCCUCUACAGCCAGCCUGACCCCCUCUACAGCCAGCCUGACCCCCUCUAC